GUAGUCUCGCACAGAUGCAUAUCAAUAAGCGGAGGAAAAGAAACUAACAAGGAUUCCCCUAGUAACGGCGAGUGAAGCGGGAAGAGCUCAAAUUUGAAAUCUUAAAGGGUUUCCCUUUACGAAUUGUAGUUUAAAGAAGUGUUUUCUGUUGAGGUUUUGGUAAAAGUUCUUUGGAAUAGGACAUCAUAGAGGGUGAGAAUCCCGUAUUUGACCUUUACUUUCAACUUUGUGAUACACUUUCAAAGAGUCGGAUUGUUUGGGAAUGCAGUCCAAAAUGGGUGGUAAAUUUCAUCUAAAGCUAAACAUUGGCGAGAGACCGAUAGCGAACAAGUACCGUGAGGGAAGGAUGAAAAGAACUUUGAAAAGAGAGUUAAACAGUACGUGAAAUUGUCAAAAGGGAAGCGUUUGACACCAGUGUUGUUUUUCUGAAAAUCAAUUAAAGAACUGUUUAUGCUAAGCUGUUUAGACUUUAUCAGCUAACUGUUUAGUUUUGAGCUUUUCUUUAAUGCACUUUUCAGUUAACAAGUCAACAUCAAUUUCUUUUGCUGUAAAAAAGCUUGAGGAAGGUGGCUUGAGAUUCGUCCUUAAGUGUUUGAUAGCCUCUUGCCUAUGCAGUCGGAGAGAUUGAGGUCUGCAGCGUAGAUCCUUCGGGGCUAAAUGCAUUUGUGCUAAGUUAUAGCAUUUUAUAGACAACUUGUUGACUAUGAUUUGUCUUGUAGCUUACUCGCUUAUGUUAUUUUACCUACGCUUAGGAUGUUGAAGACUCUACAGAGAU
rnacentral:rRNA from 1 species